rnacentral:Y_RNA from 1 species
GACUGGUCCGACGGUAGUGGGUUAUCAGAACUUAUUAACAUUAGUGUCACUAAAGUUGGUAUUCAACCCCCUCUGCUAAAUUUGACUGGCUUAC